UCACCCUCGCGCCCGACAGAGUCGCUGUAAUGAAAGCUCGGGAAGUUAUGGAGAGAAAGGAGACGAUCCCAGUGAUUAAUGCCAAAGCCCUGUUGCCUGGGGAGAGGGUGAUGUUUGACUUUCUUGUACAGCUGCAGUUUGUGUGGUGAAGGUGCUCCCACAAUGUGGUUGGAUCCCAGUGAUUAAUGCCAAAGCCCCAUUGCCUGUGGAGAGGGUGAUGUUUGACUUCCUUGUACAGCUGCAGUUUGUGUGGUGAAGGUGCUCCCACAAUGUGG